UACGAAGGGGGCUAGCGUUGUUCGGAAUUACUGGGCGUAAAGCGCGCGCAGGCGGUUUCUCAAGUCAGUGGUGAAAGCCCGGAGCUCAACUCCGGAACUGCCAUUGAAACUGUGAAUCUUGAGGACGAGAGAGGUGAGUGGAAUUCCCAGUGUAGAGGUGAAAUUCGUAGAUAUUGGGAAGAACACCGGUGGCGAAGGCGGCUCACUGGCUCGUUUCUGACGCUCAGGCGCGACAGCGUGGGGAUCAAACAGG
rnacentral:rRNA from 1 species